rnacentral:rRNA from 1 species
UGGGGAAUAUUGCACAAUGGGCGCAAGCCUGAUGCAGCGACGCCGCGUGAGGGAUGACGGCCUUCGGGUUGUAAACCUCUUUCGCCAGGGACGAAGCUUUUCGGAGUGACGGUACCUGGAUAAGAAGCACCGGCUAACUACGUGCCAGCAGCCGCGGUAAUACGUAGGGUGCGAGCGUUGUCCGGAAUUAUUGGGCGUAAAGAGCUCGUAGGCGGUUUGUCGCGUCUAUCGUGAAAACCUGCGGCUUAACUGUGGGCUUGCGGUGGAUACGGGCAGACUUGAGUUCGGUAGGGGAGACUGGAAUUCCUGGUGUAGCGGUGAAAUGCGCAGAUAUCAGGAGGAACACCGGUGGCGAAGGCGGGUCUCUGGGCCGAUACUGACGCUGAGGAGCGAAAGCGUGGGGAGCGAACAG